rfam:Clostridium celatum DSM 1785 genomic scaffold Scfld88, whole genome shotgun sequence.
AAAAAUUGCUAGGGGUGCCUUUAGGCUGAGAAAUAGUAAUAUUAACCCUUGUACCUGAUCUGGAUAAUACCAGCGGAGGAAAGCAUAAAAUAUAUAAU